rnacentral:rRNA from 1 species
UACGAAGGGGGGCUAGCGUUGCUCGGAAUGACUGGGGCGUAAAGGGCGCGUAGGCGGAUGGCACAGUCAGAUGUGAAAUUCCCGGGCUUAACCUGGGGGCUGCAUUUGAUACGUGUUGUCUUGAGUUCGGAAGAGGGUCGUGGAAUUCCCAGUGUAGAGGUGAAAUUCGUAGAUAUUGGGAAGAACACCGGUGGCGAAGGCGGCGACCUGGUCCGACACUGACGCUGAGGCGCGAAAGCGUGGGGAGCAAACAGG